GGGAGCCGGAUGAGCGGGGACGUUCCUGUCCGGAUCUGCGAGGGGCUGGAGGUGAAAUUCCUCCGGUCUACUCACC
rfam:Pelodictyon phaeoclathratiforme BT-1, complete genome.